UACGUAGGGGGGCAAGCGUUGUCCGGAUUUAUUGGGCGUAAAGAGCGUGUAGGCGGCCAGGUAGGUCGGUUGUGAAAACUGGAGGCUCAACCUUCAGAGGUCGACCGAAACCAUCUGGCUAGAGUCCGGGAGAGGAGAGUGGAAUUCCUGGUGUAGCGGUGAAAUGCGCAGAUAUCAGGAAGAACACCCGUGGCGAAAGCGGCUCUCUGGAACGGUACUGACGCUGAGACGCGAAAGCGUGGGGAGGCGAACAGG
rnacentral:rRNA from 1 species